CCUUCGGGGUUGAUGACUAGAAGGAACGAGCGGCGGAUGGGUGAGUAACACAUGGGCAACCUGCCUGUAAGACAGGGAUAACUCGCGGAAACGUGAGCUAAUACCGGAUAAAACUUUAUCAUCGCAUGGUGGAAAGAUGAAAGGUGGCGCAAGCUACCACUUACAGAUGGGCCCGUGGCGCAUUAGCUAGUUGGUGAGGUAAAAGCUUACCAAGGCGACGAUGCGUAGCCGACCUGAGAGGGUGAUCGGCCACACUGGGACUGAGACACGGCCCAGACUCCUACGGGAGGCAGCAGUAGGGAAUCUUCCGCAAUGGACGCAAGUCUGACGGAGCAACGCCGCGUGAGUGAAGAAGGUCUUCGGAUCGUAAAACUCUGUACGUCAGGGAAGAACCAGUACGGAUCGAAUAGGUCAGUACCCUGACGGUACCUAACCAGAAAGCGCGGCUAAAUACGUGCCAGCAGCCGCGGUAAUACGUAGGGGGCAAGCGUUGUCCGGAAUUAUUGGGCGUAAAGGGCGCGCAGGCUGUAUUCUUAAGUCUGAUGUGAAAUCUCAUGGCUCAGCCAUGAGCGGUCAUUGGAAACUGAGGAACUGGAGUGCAGACGAGGAGAGUGUAAUCCACGUGGAGCGGUGAUAUGCGUAGAGAUGUGGAGGACAGCUAGUGGCGAAGGCGACUCUCUGANCAGUAACUGACGCUGAUGAGCGAAUGCGUUGGGAGCCAACAGGAUAGAUCCCUGGUGUUCACGCCGUACCGAUAGUCUACGGGUACGGGUUUCGCCCUUAUUCUGAGUUACGCAUAGCACUGCCCUGGGAAUCGCCCUA
rnacentral:rRNA from 1 species